rnacentral:rRNA from 1 species
ACCAGACUCCUACGGGAGGCAGCAGUGGGGAAUAUUGCACAAUGGGGGGAACCCUGAUGCAGCGACGCCGCGUGAAGGAAGAAGUAUUUCGGUAUGUAAACUUCUCUCAGCAGGGAAGAAAAUGACGGUACCUGACUAAGAAGCCCCGGCUAACUACGUGCCAGCAGCCGCGGUAAUACGUAGGGGGCAAGCGUUAUCCGGAUUUACUGGGUGUAAAGGGAGCGUAGACGGUUACGCAAGUCUGGAGUGAAAGGCGGGGGCCCAACCCCCGGACUGCUUUGGAAACUGUAUAACUGGAGUGCAGGAGAGGUAAGUGGAAUUCCUAGUGUAGCGGUGAAAUGCGUAGAUAUUAGGAGGAACACCAGUGGCGAAGGCGGCUUACUGGACUGUAACUGACGUUGAGGCUCGAAAGCGUGGGGAGCAAACAGGAUUAGAUACCCGGGUA